rnacentral:rRNA from 1 species
GUGGCGAACGGGUGAGUAACACGUGAGCAACCUGCCCCUGACUCUGGGAUAAGCGCUGGAAACGGCGUCUAAUACUGGAUACGAACAGCGACCGCAUGGUCAGUUGUUGGAAAGAUUUAUUGGUUGGGGAUGGGCUCGCGGCCUAUCAGCUUGUUGGUGAGGUAAUGGCUCACCAAGGCGUCGACGGGUAGCCGGCCUGAGAGGGUGACCGGCCACACUGGGACUGAGACACGGCCCAGACUCCUACGGGAGGCAGCAGUGGGGAAUAUUGCACAAUGGGCGCAAGCCUGAUGCAGCAACGCCGCGUGAGGGAUGACGGCCUUCGGGUUGUAAACCUCUUUUAGCAGGGAAGAAGCGAGAGUGACGGUACCUGCAGAAAAAGCACCGGCUAACUACGUGCCAGCAGCCGCGGUAAUACGUAGGGUGCAAGCGUUAUCCGGAAUUAUUGGGCGUAAAGAGCUCGUAGGCGGUUUGUCGCGUCUGCUGUGAAAUCUGGGGGCUCAACCCCCAGCCUGCAGUGGGUACGGGCAGACUAGAGUGCGGUAGGGGAGAUUGGAAUUCCUGGUGUAGCGGUGGAAU